rnacentral:rRNA from 1 species
GUCUCAGUUCGGACUGUGGUCUGCAACUCGACCACACGAAGCUGGAAAAUCGCUAGUAAUCGCGAAUCAGCAUGUCGCGGUGAAUACGUUCCCGGGUCUUGUACACACCGCCCGUCACACCAUGGGAGUCAGCAACGCCCGAAGUCAGUGACCUAACCGAGAGGAAGGAGCUGCCGAAGGCGGGGCAGGUAACUGGGGUGAAGUCGUAACAAGGUACC